GAGAUUAUGCUUAAUUUCUGUUACACUUGCUCUGAUUAGUUCCAUAGGAGAGAAAGAGGAGGAGAGCAGAUAGACUUGGGCUCCUUUCUAAGCUAAAUAAACAAUUUUUUUAAAGAACAAGAAACAUUAAUUAUCUGGGAAUUCUUUUGCUUUCCCAUUUCUUUAGAUGUAGUAUAUAGUAUAUUGAUUGUUUGAAUAAUCUUUCACCUUUAAAAAUAGGUAGUGUUUUUAGUAAUAUCUGCCACAUAGUAAAAAUUGUUUUAAAUGUCAUAUAAAAUAAACACAUGAUACUUGCAAAUCAAUAGUGCUGUUUUGUUAUAAAUUUAUCCUCAAGAA